GAUGAACGCUGGCGGCGUGCCUAAUACAUGCAAGUCGAGCGAACGGACGAGAAGCUUGCUUCUCUGAUGUUAGCGGCGGACGGGUGAGUAACACGUGGAUAACCUACCUAUAAGACUGGGAUAACUUCGGGAAACCAGAGCUAAUACCGGAUGAUAUUUUGAACCGCAUGGUUCAAAAGUGAAAGACGGUCCUGCUGUCACUUAUAGAUGGAUCCGCGCUGCAUUAGCUAGUUGGUAAGGUAACGGCUUACCAAGGCAACGAUGCAUAGCCGACCUGAGAGGGUGAUCGGCCACACUGGAACUGAGACACGGUCCAGACUCCUACGGGAGGCAGCAGUAGGGAAUCUUCCGCAAUGGGCGAAAGCCUGACGGAGCAACGCCGCGUGAGUGAUGAAGGUCUUCGGAUCGUAAAACUCUGUUAUUAGGGAAGAACAUAUGUGUAAGUAACUGUGCACAUCUUGACGGUACCUAAUCAGAAAGCCACGGCUAACUACGUG
rnacentral:rRNA from 1 species